GUGAAUUAAACAUGCUUGGUGUCUUCGCUUCGGCAAGGCCCUUGCUUAAAUCACAUCCUGACACCUGUGUACUGUAAGACGUAUGAUGAGGUCUUUGGCCAAGUCAUCGUCUGCCCAUUUUUAACAAACAAUUAAUGUAACAAACGUAGUCUUAUUAUAACCUAAUA
rnacentral:misc_RNA from 1 species